rnacentral:rRNA from 1 species
UCCUCCCCCUUUCUUCGUGCUUAACACAUGCAAGUCGAACGGAAAGGCCCUGCUUUUGUGGGGUGCUCGAGUGGCGAACGGGUGAGUAACACGUGAGUAACCUGCCCUUGACUUUGGGAUAACUUCAGGAAACUGGGGCUAAUACCGGAUAGGAGCUCCUGCUGCAUGGUGGGGGUUGGAAAGUUUCGGCGGUUGGGGAUGGACUCGCGGCUUAUCAGCUUGUUGGUGGGGUAGUGGCUUACCAAGGCUUUGACGGGUAGCCGGCCUGAGAGGGUGACCGGCCACAUUGGGACUGAGAUACGGCCCAGACUCCUACGGGAGGCAGCAGUGGGGAAUAUUGCACAAUGGGCGGAAGCCUGAUGCAGCAACGCCGCGUGCGGGAUGACGGCCUUCGGGUUGUAAACCGCUUUCGCCUGUGACGAAGCGUGAGUGACGGUAAUGGGUAAAGAAGCACCGGCUAACUACGUG